rnacentral:rRNA from 1 species
CUAACACAUGCAAGUCGAGGGGCAGCAUGGGAGAAGCUUGCUUUUCCCGAUGGCGACCGGCGAAUGGGUGAGUCACGCGUGUCCAACCUGCCUUCAGCCCGGGGAUAGCCCUUGGAAAUGAGGAUUAAGACCCGAUAGAUGGAAGUUCCGCAUGGCGCUUCCAUGAAACUGGACUGAAGAUGGGGACGCGUCGGAUUAGCUUGACGGCGGGGCAACGGCCCACCGUGGCGACGAUCCGCAGGGGUUCUGAGAGGAAGGUCCCCCACACUGGCACUGAGACACGGGCCAGACUCCUACGGGAGGCAGCAGUGAGGAAUAUUGGUCAAUGGCCGAGAGGCUGAACCAGCCAAGUAGCGUGCAGGAUGACGGCCCUACGGGUUGUAAACUGCUUUUGCGGGAGGAUAAAAGACACUACGUGUAGUGUUUUGCAGGUAUCCCGUGAAUAAGGACCGGCUAAUUCCGUGCCAGCAGCCGCGGUAAUACGGAAGGUCCGGGCGUUAUCCGGAUUUAUUGGGUUUAAAGGGAGCGCAGGCGGACUGUCAAGCGUGCCGUGAAAGCGCGGGGCUCAACCCCGUACAGCGGCGCGAACUGGCGGUCUUGGUUGCGGGAAGGGAAGGCGGAACUCGUGGUGUAGCGGUGAAAUGCAUAGAUAUCACGAAGAACUCCGAUCGCGAAGGCAGCCUUCCGGCCCGUGAACGACGCUCAUGCUCGAAGGCGCGGGUAUCAAACAGGAUUAGAUACCCUGGUAGUCCGCGCAGUAAACGAUGAGUGCUCGGGAUUUGCCCCUUGGGGUGAGUCCCCCAGCGAAAGCGUUAAGCACUCCACCUGGGGAGUACGCCGGCAACGGUGAAACUCAAAGGAAUUGACGGGGGCCCGCACAAGCGGAGGAACAUGUGGUUUAAUUCGAUGAUACGCGAGGAACCUUACCCGGGCUUGAAAUGUGCAUGACGGCAGAGAGAGACCUCUGCUUCCUUCGGGCAUGCAUGUAGGUGCUGCAUGUUGUCGUCACCUCUGCCGUGAGGUGUCCGCUCAAAGUCCAUACGAGCGCAACCCCUUUCCGCCGGUACCAUCAGGUUAUUCCGCGGAAUCCUGACUCCCUUCGCCCCACGAUGUGAGAAGGUGUGAUAUAAGGUCCAUUCAU